CAGCCACAUCACAUUGAAACACCAGUUCUCAUAUGAUCACCACAGUUAAGCAAGAUCAAGCCUGGUUAGUGCCUAGAUGGGUGACCACCUGGGAAUACAAAGUACAG